rnacentral:rRNA from 1 species
UACGUAGGGUGCAAGCGUUAAUCGGAAUUACUGGGCGUAAAGCGUGCGCAGGCGGUUUUGUAAGUCUGUCGUGAAAUCCCCGGGCUCAACCUGGGAAUUGCGAUGGAGACUGCAAGGCUAGAAUCUGGCAGAGGGGGGGGUAGAAUUCCACGUGUAGCAGUGAAAUGCGUAGAGAUGUGGAGGAACACCGAUGGCGAAGGCAGCCCCCUGGGUCAAGAUUGACGCUCAUGCACGAAAGCGUGGGGAGCAAACGAGGAUAGAGUACCCGUAAGAUCCGAUCGACCA